GACGAACGCUGGCGGCGUGCUUAACACAUGCAAGUCGAACGGAAAGGCCCUGCUUUUGUGGGGUGCUCGAGUGGCGAACGGGUGAGUAACACGUGAGUAACCUGCCCUUGACUUUGGGAUAACUUCAGGAAACUGGGGCUAAUACCGGAUAGGAGCUCCUGCUGCAUGGUGGGGGUUGGAAAGUUUCGGCGGUUGGGGAUGGACUCGCGGCUUAUCAGCUUGUUGGUGGGGUAGUGGCUUACCAAGGCUUUGACGGGUAGCCGGCCUGAGAGGGUGACCGGCCUCAUUGGGACUACGAUACGGCCCAGCCUCCUACGGGAGGCAGCAGUGGGGAAUAUUGCACAAUGGGCGGAAGCCUGAUGCAGCAACGCCGCGUGCUGGAUGACGGCCUUCGGGUUGUAAACCGCUUUCGCCUGUGACGAAGCGUGAGUGACGGUAAUGGGUAAAGAAGCACCGGCUAACUACGUG
rnacentral:rRNA from 1 species